rnacentral:rRNA from 1 species
AUGGAGAGGAUGGCUCACUCCUACUUUAAGGAGAUUUUUACUAAGGACCCGACUCUAGCUCCGGAUGAGGUCCUUGAUUACAUCGCACCUAGCGUCACAGCCGAGAUGAAUGAUUCUUUGUGCAAACCAUACACUGAGGAGGAAAUUUCUAAUGCCCUCUUUCAGAUUGGCCCCUUGAAGGCCCCUGGUAGUGACGGUUUUCCUGCCCAUUUUUAUCAACGUAACUGGUCAGUGCUUAAAGCAGAGAUUAUUACUGCAGUUCAGGAAUUUUUUGUCACAGGGACUAUGCCGGAUGGUGUUAAUGAUACGGUGAUAGUUUUGAUUCCAAAAGGUCCACAUCCAAAGGAACUAACGGAUUUUCGUCCAAUAAGCUUGUGUAACGUGUAUAAAAUUGUGUCCAAGUGUAUGGUGAACAGGCUACGGCCCCUCCUCAAUGAGCUUAUCUCCGACAAUCAGAGUGCCUUCAUCCCAGGGAGGCUUAUCCCUGAUAAUUCUAUUAUAGCUUUCGAGUGUAUUCACCAUAUUCAAUCUUUGAAGGAUAAUUCUCCGGCCUUGUGUGCUUAUAAGCUUGACUUAUCUAAAGCCUACGAUCGUGUUGACUGGGUUUUCUUGGAGAGGGCACUAUCAAAGUGGGGCUUCUCUCAGCAAUGGAUUUCUCGAGUGAUGGCAUGUGUCUCAUCUGUCAAAUACUCGGUGAAGUUUAAUGGCAAAUUGUUGGAGUUUUUCGCCCCGUCUAGAGGGCUCCGGCAAGGUGACCCGUUAUCCCCCUUUCUCUUCUUGUUUGUAGCUGAUGCUCUUUCAUCUUUGAUCAACAAGGCUAUGCGGGAAGAGGGCCUGCAAGGGGUUAAAAUCUGCAGAGGUGCUCCUGAGAUUUCUCACCUCCUUUUUGCGGAUGAUUCACUUUUAUUCUUCCAAGUUUCAGAACAGCAAGCGGUCUUGGUUAAAGGUGUGUUGAACACUUAUGCGACGGCGACUGGACAACUAAUUAACCCGUCGAAGUGCUCCAUCCUUUUCUCAUAUCAGUGGGCACAAAAAGUUAUCCAGAAGGUUAAAAGUGUACUGGGUAUUACAUAG